rnacentral:rRNA from 1 species
GUGGGGAAUAUUGGACAAUGGGGGCAACCCUGAUCCAGCCAUGCCGCGUGAGUGAUGAAGGUCUUAGGAUUGUAAAGCUCUUUCGGCGGGGAAGAUGAUGACGGUACCCGCAGAAGAAGCCCCGGCUAACUUCGUGCCAGCAGCCGCGGUAAUACGAAGGGGGCUAGCGUUGUUCGGAAUUACUGGGCGUAAAGGGCGUGUAGGCGGCUUGCAAAGUCGGGCGUGAAAGCCCCGGGCUCAACCCGGGAAUUGCGUUCGAUACUGGCGAGCUAGAGUUCGGGAGAGGGUCGUGGAAUUCCCAGUGUAGAGGUGAAAUUCGUAGAUAUUGGGAAGAACACCAGUGGCGAAGGCGGCGACCUGGACCGAUACUGACGCUAAGGCGCGAAAGCGUGGGGAGCAAACAGGAUUAGAAACCCGUGUAGUCC